rnacentral:rRNA from 1 species
GAUCCUGCCAGUAGUGUAUGCUUCUCCUAAAGACUAAGCCAUGCAUGCCUCCGAAUAGAAGAGCAAUUCUCUCUGAAUCUGCGAACGGCUCCGCAAACCAGUUGUAAACCAGGGCAAGCAUGCCUCGGGGUCGCCGCAAGGUGUGCCCCGGGGCUAUAGGGAUAACCCUGGUAAUUCUGAGGCUAAUACAUGAACGUACCCCUCGGCCGACGGGUAACUGAAGGCCGGGGACCGUGCGAGUAGGCGCUGAUUUUUUAUUGGGAGUAGUCGCACAGUAGGACCACCAUCCAAACGGUAUCUGCUUCGCCCCGUUAAACGGGCUGGCGGUGUCCGGGUGGCUCUUGCAACGUGCUUCUGACCUAUCAACUAGAUGGCAGCUUAUAGGACAUGCCAUGGUGACAACGGGUACAGAGGAUAAGGGUUCGAUCCUGGAGAGUGGGCCUGAGAGAUUGCUCACACUUCUAAGGAAGGCAGCAGGCGCGCAACGUUCCCCUUGGGCAAUGCUCGAGGGCGUUAGGGGACAUAUGAAUGUCUGCCAAUUGGUGGACAAUUCAAAUGGGUCUGUUCUAAACAGCCUCUCGAGUAACAAUUAGAGGACAAGUCUGGUGCCAGCACCCGCGGUAAUUCCAGCUCUAAUAGCAUACGUUAAAGUUGUUGCGGUUAAAACGCUCGUAGUCGGCGCCAGAUCUUCAGAACUCUGCGCUGGAAGCCGGGUCCGUUGCCUGUAAAAGGGCACGCCGGGGACUGGCAAUGAGGGACGUCGAUCAACUGUGCUCGUGGCUGCCUCGCAAGAGUCGAAAGGCUUGGGAAGAGUUUUACUCGACCCUCGUCUGGCCCGGGUGCCAUUUACCAUGAUUAAACCGGAGUGAUCAAAGCAUGUCUUUCGACACGUACGGCGCAGCAUGGUAUAGUUUCACUGGCCUUGCCCUAUUAUGCGGGGGCUCGGUUGGUAAACGCGAAAGGGAUGUUCGAGGGUGACCGAAUUGCUGGGCGAGUGGUGAAAUACGUUGACCCUAGCAAGUCGACCAAAGGCGAAAGCAGUCAUCAAGGGCAUGCCCGUUGAUCAAGAGCGAAAGUUAAGGGUUCGAAGACGAUCAGAUACCGUCGUAGUCUUAACUAUAAAUGAUGCAAACCAGGGAUAGGACACUGUCCAUCUCGACUCCUCCUGGAUCUUAGAGAAAUUAUAGUCUUUGGGUUCUGGGGGGAGUAUGGUCGCAAGGCUGAAACUUAAAGGAAUUGACGGAAGGGCACACAAAGAGUGGAACCUGCGGCUUAAUUUGACUCAACACGGGAAAACUCACCAGGUCCGGAUACACGUAUGAAAGUCAAGCUGAAAGACUUUACUCAAUGAUGUAAGUGGUGGUGCAUGGUCGUUCUUAGUUCGUGGAUUGAUUUGUCUGGUCUAUUCCGAUAACGAGCGAGACCCCUUCGUUCCUAAUAGGGGCGGUUAGCCCGCGCGCCGCAAGGCACGUAGCUUCCGCUUAAGUUUUUACUUCUUAGACGUAUCAGAGCCGAUAAGGUUCUUGAAAUGGGUUAAUAACAGGUCAGUCAUGCCCUUAGAUGUUCUGGGCCGCACGCGCGUUACAAUGGCACGUAUAGCGAGUGCUUGAAAAGGCGUCUCCGGGUCCGAAAGGAUCUGGUAACCCUUAGUCCCUGCCUUGACUGGGACAGAUCUUUGCAAUUAUUGGUCUCCAACGAGGAAUUUUUAGUAGUCGUAGGUCAUUAACCUACGACGAAUGCGUCCCUGCCCUUUGUACACACCGCCCGUCGCUGCUACCGAUUGGGUUUUACAGUUACGUGUUCGGAGGCGCUGGCCCCCCGCUUGCCGCAAGGUAGGUGGUAGCUGGUACCGAAGUUCCAAUUACUGUACGGCCUAGAGGAAGCAGAAGUCGUAACAAGGUAAUCGUAG